AACUGGGAUUAGAUACCCCACUAUGCUUAGCCUUAAACAUUGAUAGUUUAAUACACCACACUAUCCGCAUGGAAACUACGAGCAUCAGCUUAAAACCCAAAGGACUUGGCGGUGCUUUACACCCACCUAGAGGAGCCUGUUCUA
rnacentral:rRNA from 1 species